AUGGCCAGGGGUAGGAAUCCCGAGAAGAAGAACGCGGACGGGCGGAGCUGCUCCAUGGCGCUGAGGCAGGGGAGGAAGCGGCCAUCGUCCAUGGCGUCCCGAUGCUCGAGCGAGGAUGGCAUCUUGGAUCUGGGAGGAAGAGACGAUGAACCGAGGAAGUUAGGAAUGGCUAUGAGGAGGAGAUGGAGUAGAUGGAUGCACCUGAGUCGUCGGAACCACGCCGAUCAAAACCGUAGCGAUAGGAGUCGGUCACGGUUGGCGCUGGAGGACGCGCGUGACGGAUCUCGACGGGGAACACCAGCCUCCCCAAGCCCCGCCGGUAGAGAGUGCCUGCUCGAUCCAGAGGGAGGGAGUGGGGGUGGAGGCGGCGGCGGCGGCGCCUGCUCUAUCCAGAGGCAGGGAGGUGGGAAGGAGGGAUUAUUGCUGGAUCUGGCCACGAGAUGA
rnacentral:rRNA from 1 species